rnacentral:rRNA from 1 species
AACGAACGCUGGCGGCAUGCCUAACACAUGCAAGUCGAACGAGACCUUCGGGUCUAGUGGCGCACGGGUGCGUAACACGUGGGAAUCUGCCCUUUGCUUCGGAAUAACAGUUAGAAAUGACUGCUAAUACCGGAUGAUGUCGAAAGACCAAAGAUUUAUCGGCAAAGGAUGAGCCCGCGUAGGAUUAGGUAGUUGGUGGGGUAAAGGCCUACCAAGCCGACGAUCCUUAGCUGGUCUGAGAGGAUGGUCAGCCACACUGGGACUGAGACACGGCCCAGACUCCUACGGGAGGCAGCAGUGGGGAAUAGUGGACAAUGGGCGAAAGCCUGAUCCAGCAAUGCCGCGUGAGUGAUGAAGGCCUUAGGGUUGUAAAGCUCUUUUACCAGGGAUGAUAAUGACAGUACCUGGAGAAUAAGCUCCGGCUAACUCCGUG